GUAGGUGAACCUGCGGAAGGAUCAUUAGAGUAAGAAGUGUGAGUGUAGGCUUUGGUCGGAGGGAACCGGAAGCCCUAGGUUUCGCCGCUCAGUCGCGAUGAACACGGGAUUUUUGUGCCGAUGCCGGAUGUGAAAAGGGAUAUCCUCUCUCGCGAGACCUGCCCGUUAACUGCUAAGGCACGAGCGAUCGUAGGGCCUCUAAUCC
rnacentral:misc_RNA from 1 species